rnacentral:rRNA from 1 species
UGCAGUCGACGAUGAACCACUUCGGUGGGGAUUAGUGGCGAACGGGUGAGUAACACGUGGGCAAUCUGCCCUGCACUCUGGGACAAGCCCUGGAAACGGGGUCUAAUACCGGAUAACAGCUUCCAUCGCAUGGUGGGGGUUUGAAAGCUCCGGCGGUGCAGGAUGAGCCCGCGGCCUAUCAGCUUGUUGGUGAGGUAGUGGCUCACCAAGGCGACGACGGGUAGCCGGCCUGAGAGGGCGACCGGCCACACUGGGACUGAGACACGGCCCAGACUCCUACGGGAGGCAGCAGUGGGGAAUAUUGCACAAUGGGCGAAAGCCUGAUGCAGCGACGCCGCGUGAGGGAUGACGGCCUUCGGGUUGUAAACCUCUUUCAGCAGGGAAGAAGCGCAAGUGACGGUACCUGCAGAAGAAGCGCCGGCUAACUACGUGCCAGCAGCCGCGGUAAUACGUAGGGCGCAAGCGUUGUCCGGAAUUAUUGGGCGUAAAGAGCUCGUAGGCGGCUUGUCGCGUCGGUUGUGAAAGCCCGGGGCUUAACCCCGGGUCUGCAGUCGAUACGGGCAGGCUAGAGUUCGGUAGGGGAGAUCGGAAUUCCUGGUGUAGCGGUGAAAUGCGCAGAUAUCAGGAGGAACACCGGUGGCGAAGGCGGAUCUCUGGGCCGAUACUGACGCUGAGGAGCGAAAGCGUGGGGAGCGAACAGGAUUAGAUACCCUGGUAGUCCACGCCGUAAACGGUGGGCACUAGGUGUGGGCAACAUUCCACGUUGUCCGUGCCGCAGCUAACGCAUUAAGUGCCCCGCCUGGGGAGUACGGCCGCAAGGCUAAAACUCAAAGGAAUUGACGGGGGGCCCGCACAAGCGGCGGAGCAUGUGGCUUAAUUCGACGCAACGCGAAGAACCUUACCAAGGCUUGACAUACACCGGAAAAACCCUGGGAGACAGGGUCCCCCUUGGUGGUCGGUGUACAGGGGGGUGCAUGGCCUGUCCGCCACCUCCGUGUCCUGGAAAAUGUUGGGGUUAAGUUCCCCCCAACCAAGCCCCAACCCCUUGGUCCCGUGGUUGCCCGGCAAGCCCCUUCCGGGG